CAACAUUCCUAGUUUUUUUUUGGGGGGGGGGGUGUUUUUGUUUAUUUUUUGUUUUGUUUUUGUUGAGACAGGGUCUCACCGUGUUGCCCUGGCUGGAGUGCCAUGGUGUGAUCACGGCUCACUGCAGCCUUGAUCUCCUGGGGCUCAAGGGAUCCUCCUGCCUCAGCCUCCCUAGUAGCUGUGACUACAGGUGCGUGCCACUAUGUCCAGCUAGUUUGUAUUUUUUGUAGAGAUGGUGUUUCACCAUGUUGCCCAGGCUAGUCUCAAACUCCUGGGCUCAAGAGAUCCACCCACUUCGACCUCCCAAAGUGUUGGGAUUACAAGCGUGAGCUACCACGCCCAGCCCAUUCCCAGUUUUGUUUGGAUGCUGGGGCACUCUA
rnacentral:lncRNA from 1 species